rnacentral:lncRNA from 1 species
AACGACGACUCACACAUGACGGGUGUGGAUGCAACCAACAAAAUCAGAAACAAAAGACUACAAAAGAGCUUUAGCAAUGACUCGUGGGCCGUCCAGAUAAAACCUCCAGAGUGGUGAGCCACAAAAAAGGCAACCCAAUAUGCGGCACUGUUUGCCUCCCUAUAGACAUGCGUGGUCUGGUGGGAGCCGCAUUCCCUCAAUAAUCUGCGAAUGUCGUAGAGCAACGGCCGAUCCCUAGCAUUGCAUCCCCGACCCUGAACUCACUCAAUCACCGUAGCCAAAUUUCCCUCGAAGAGGAGGCGAUUUGCGCCCAGUACCUGCCUCGCAUAAGAAAUACCUUCCCAUGUAGCUCUAAGCUUGACGCAUACAACAGACGUGUCGAAGAUCCGCCAACCCCCCGUUGCCACCAGUCUGGCGUCGUGGUCUCUAAUGAUGAAUCCCACACCUCCGCAGCUCUCGCCUUCGGUUACACUACCGUUGAAGUUCACCUUGAGAAAGUCAAAGGG